UACAGAGGUCCCGAGCGUUGUUCGGAUUCAUUGGGCGUAAAGGGUGCGUAGGCGGCUUUCUAAGUCUGAUGUGAAAUUCCGGGGCUCAACCCCGAAACUGCAUUGGAUACUGGGAGGCUAGAGUCCUGGAGAGGAAACUGGAAUUUACGGUGUAGCAGUGAAAUGCGUAGAUAUCGUAAGGAAGACCAGUGGCGAAGGCGAGUUUCUGGACAGGUACUGACGCUGAGGCACGAAGGCCAGGGGAGCAAACGGG
rnacentral:rRNA from 1 species